UACGAAGGGGGCUAGCGUUGUUCGGAAUUACUGGGCGUAAAGCGCGUGUAGGCGGGUCCUUAAGUCAGGGGUGAAAUGCCGGAGCUCAACUUCGGAACUGCCUUUGAUACUGGGGAUCUUGAGUCCGGGAGAGGUGAGUGGAACUGCGAGUGUAGAGGUGAAAUUCGUAGAUAUUCGCAAGAACACCAGUGGCGAAGGCGGCUCACUGGCCCGAUACUGACGCUGAUGCACGAAAGCGUGGGGAGCAAACAGG
rnacentral:rRNA from 1 species